CGUAGGUGACCUGCGGAGGAUCACUA
rnacentral:rRNA from 1 species